rnacentral:rRNA from 1 species
UACGGAGGGUGCAAGCGUUAUCCGGAUUUACUGGGUUUAAAGGGCGCGUAGGCGGUCAGCACAAGUCAGUUGUGAAAUCUCCGGGCUUAACUCGGAAAGGUCAACUGAUACUGUGCGACUAGAGUGCGGAAGGGGCAACUGGAAUUCUCGGUGUAGCGGUGAAAUGCGUAGAUAUCGAGAGGAACACCUGCGGCGAAGGCGGGUUGCUAGGCCGACACUGACGCUGAUGCGCGAAAGCCAGGGGAGCGAACGGG